rnacentral:rRNA from 1 species
UACGUAGGGCGCAAGCGUUAUCCGGAAUGAUUGGGCGUAAAGCGUCCGCAGGCGGCAAUUUAAGUCUGCUGUUAAAGAGUCUAGCUCAACUAGAUAAAAGCAGUGGAAACUACAUAGCUAGAGUACGUUCGGGGCAGAGGGAAUUCCUGGUGUAGCGGUGAAAUGCGUAGAGAUCAGGAAGAACACCAGUGGCGAAGGCGCGCUGCUAGGCCGUAACUGACGCUGAGGGACGAAAGCUAGGGGAGCGAAUGGG